rnacentral:lncRNA from 1 species
CCAAGUUACCUGAACAAAGAUUGUAAAUGGAAAUAAUUUUGUGCAAUUAGACAAAUAGUAAAUAACCAUGAAGGAGGUGCUUUUUCAGCAGCCACAAGAGCUAAAAGCGCUAUUCCUAUCAUCUAUGUUAUUAUGUUUUAACUUAUACAAUAAUAAAUUAUAUGGAGGUUCUUUAGGUUUGAGCAUCAUUAACAACUUAGUCUAUUAUUUAUAGAAAAAUAAUAGUCCAGUUUCUUAACAGUCAUUAAAUGUUAGUUAAACAUGUGUCACGUAUUUUCCUCCAAAAAUAAGUGUGUGAGCAUGUGCAUCAUGUAUGUGUCACAUGUCUGUCACUACGAAAUGAUAAAAGAUAGCAACAUGACAAAUAAUUUCUAGAUUAUAACAUGACUAAUAAUUCUAGUUUACUCACAAGGAAAAACAGUUUUAGUUGAAAAAAUACAAAAAGGUAGAAGUUUUAGUUUGUAUAGUAAAGAAGAAACAACAAUGUGAUUGUAAGAACCGAAAAAGUGAAAAUAAAUAUCUAGUGUAAAUAGAUAAUCUAAAAUGUAUUUUAGUAAAUAGGGUGACUAGAUUAUUAUGGUUUAAAACCACACACCAACUUGCAAAUAAAAUCUAAGAUCCUCAUAUAUGUUACUCUUGAGAUAACUGCAUUUAUAAUGUAAUUGUUGGACAACUCAAUUCAUCAAAACUUUAUCUAAUCCGCUACUGAACUAACUCAAUAUUCUAUAGAAGUGAUUUUUUUCCACAAUGUUAUAUGCAAGCCUAAUCUCCAUAUGCAAGCUCAACGGCGCCAACAUCCUUCUGUUUAAAUGCAUAUGACAACUUCUUCAUAUUUUUAGGUGGAGUAUGUUAUCUUUGAGAUUCUAAAAAAAAUCUCCUGCUAAAAGUUCAGAAUUGCAUAACAAGCAAAUAUAGAACUUUACACCAAGUUUUUUCUUAAUUUUUAAGAGAAAGGAGGUGUCUAGUUGGUUUUCUCACACAACCAGGGGGACAUUGUUCAUGUGAAAAAGCUUAACAUACAAGCACAGUUUUAUCCUGUCAUGAGGAAAAAAUUUUGUUGCUUGAAUAAAGAGCCAGAUAUUUCAAAGCAAAGUGUAAUCUGCAUGUGCA